rnacentral:rRNA from 1 species
GUGCCAGCAGCCGCGGUAAUACGAAAGGGGCAAGCGUUGUUCGGAUUUACUGGGCGUAAAGGGCACGCAGGCGGUCUUGCCAGUCAGGGGUGAUAGCCCGGGGCACAACCCCGGAACUGCCUCUGAUACUGCAGGACAAGAGACUAGGAGAGGGUGGUGGAAUUCCCAGUGUAGAGGUGAAAUUCGUAGAUAUUGGGAGGAACACCAGAGGGGAAGGCGGCCACCUGGACUAGAUCUGACGCUCAGGUGCGAAAGCGUGGGGAGCAAACAGGAUUAGAAACCCCUGUAGUCC